GCCCGGAUGGCGAAAUCGGUAGACGCAAGAGACUUAAAAUCUCUCGGGGGUAACCCCGUGCCGGUUCAAGUCCGGCUCCGGGCACCA
rnacentral:tRNA from 6 species